GCCCCUGGGUCUGUGCAGUUAUCAGCCAGUCCCCUGAGAACUUUCCCCUCCAGCACCAGGGAAAAUGGGAUUUUUGCUUCUUCUAAUUUUCACUGUAGCAGCUUUGGAAGGUGUCCAGUCCCAGGUGCAGCUGGUGGAGUCCGGAGGGGAUGUGAAAAAGCCCGGAGACUCUCUCCGCCUCUCCUGCAAAGCCUCUGGGUUCACCUUCAGCAGUGCCUACAUGAGCUGGGUCCGACAGGCUCCUGGCAAGGGACUGGAAUGGGUCGCUGCUAUAUACCCCGCUGGGAGUACAUAUUACCCUGAUUCAGUGAAAGGCCGAUUCACCAUCUCCAGGGAUAAUUCCAAGAGUGAGCUGUAUCUGCAAAUGACUGGCCUGAAGCCCGAGGACACCGCUCGCUAUUACUGUGCGAGAGACACAGUGAGGGGAAGCUGGUCUGAGCUCAGACAAAAACCUCUCCCUGCAGUAAUCAGAGAAGCAGUUUGCAGUUAUCUCAUGGAUUGGAUCCGUCUGGCCCCUGGGAGGGGGCUGGAGUGGCUGGCCAGAGCUGCUGCCCAGGGGAGCACCUACUACGCUGAUACCGUGCAAGGGCGAUUCACCAUCUCCAGAGACAACGCCAACAGCCUGGUGCAUUUGCAAAUCAGCAGCCUGAGAGCGGAGGACACCGCCCUGUAUUACUGUGUCAGAGACACACAGCCAGGGACCUGGGACAAAAACCGAGCGCUGUCUUAG